rnacentral:rRNA from 1 species
CCGGGAACCGGGGCUAAUGCCGGGUAACCAUUCGGUUCUCCUGAACCGAAUGUAAAAGGAUGGCUUCUUGCUAUCGCUUACAGAUGGGCCCGCGGCGCAUUAGCUAGUUGGUAAGGUAACGGCUUACCAAGGCGACGAUGCGUAGCCGACCUGAGAGGGUGAUCGGCCACACUGGGACUGAGACACGGCCCAGACUCCUACGGGAGGCAGCAGUAGGGAAUCUUCCGCAAUGGACGAAAGUCUGACGGAGCAACGCCGCGUGAACGAUGAAGGCUUUCGGGUCGUAAAGUUCUGUUGUGAGGGAAGAACAAGGAUCGUGCGAACAGAGCGGUCCCUUGACGGUACCUCACGAGGAAGCCCCGGCUAACUACGUGCCAGCAGCCGCGGUAAUACGUAGGGGGCAAGCGUUGUCCGGAAUUAUUGGGCGUAAAGCGCACGCAGGCGGUUCCUUAAGUCUGAUGUGAAAGCCCGUGGCUCAACCACGGAGGGCCAUUGGAAACUGGGGAACUUGAGAACUGAAGAGGAGAGUGGAAUUCCACGUGUAGCGGUGAAAUGCGUAGAUAUGUGGAGGAACACCAGUGGCGAAGGCGACUCUCUGGUCGGUUUCUGACGCUGAGGUGCGAAAGCGUGGGUAGCAAACAG